GGCUGAAGUAAACACACUAUGCACUUAAAAUAUAAGGAAAUAUAAUACGCUGCAGCUGAAGGAGUAGCAAAGCAAAAAGAAAUAAAGUACGAACACAACGAUUCUCAAAGGUUAAUGGUUACAUCACUGCCUGACAUCCACUGAUGACAUUCUCACCACCUAUAACCUGCAGAUAAUCUAUUUUUCUCCCUGAAAAAGGUAUGACUAUUAAUGUAUUGACUCUUGUGUGGACUUUUUAUUGUCUUGACUAAGAGUGCAAAUAUUAAAAAUUAGCAUUGUAGAUACAAAAAUGAAUAAACAAACAAAUAAAAACAUAAAACUGGCAAAAGAUUAGAACAAAAAAAAAGUUAUUGCAGAGAAAUAGAAAAUCAUUACUUUCACGCUCUGUCAAACUUAUAAUAAUAUGCACUUAGGACAAAAAGCAAAAUCUUAUUUUAAAUUGCAUUUGCUAAAUCUACGUUAACAAAAGGAUUUGUGGCCCUGUCACGAAAAUACAUUGACCCUUGACCUUCUUUAGUUUAGAGAAGGAGAACAGCCAGAAUCUUGGUAUCAAACUAAUGUUUGUUUUACAUAAACAUUCUCUCAAUUAUUUUGGUUUGCUGCAGAAGCAAAACUGACAAACAAAACAAAAUAAAACCAAACCAACAAAAAAAAAAAACCAAACCAAACCAAACAAAACAAAACAAAAAAACAAUGAAGAAGAAAAUGCCCCAUACGAAAGGCUCUCAACUCGGAAACAGUGCAAGCCUGCUUCUAAACAGUCAUGUGACUUUUUUUUUUUUUUUUUUUUUUUUGCUAACAGCCAUGUGCUCGCGUAUCAUUUUACUCUGAAAUAACUCUGCGGAUUUCAGCUCAACCUGCCUUUGCUUAUAAUGCAUGACAUAGCCUGUGAGGGAGCCUGAGAACCGUCCCUCUUCAAAAGCAAGGUUCCCAUGCUUGGCCUGUAACCAUGGAAGCAGAUGCCUUUUUUGCUUACCCCUGCUUACCUCUUUGCAGCCACGAGCUGCUCCCUAUUGUUAAAAGGGGUACGCCUUGAUUUUUCUUCAUCGUGACCGAACUUGCCUCUUCUUCAAAGGGCAUGAUGCUGCAGGUCAUUGGUCUAGACUGUUUGCACGGUCCAGAGAACAGCCUUGAUGUAACCCUUGCUCCGUCUGUGCCACACCACCAGCCGCGCGACUGCAGACUGUAGGGGGACAUCGGAGAUCUGUAUUUGAAAAGAAGUCCGUCCGAUUUUGCCAUUGUGCCUUUUCAGUCAUCGAUCGAAUGAAUAUCGAACCUUCUGUCGUUGCAUGUGUGAAAUAGAUAGCUUAGCAAGCACUUUUGUGCCCAGACCUGUGCAGUGGGCCAAACUCUUCUCCUUUAUUCACAAAUAUUUUUUUUUGCAAUAUAGUAAUUUCUUAGGUACUUUAAAUACCAGCAUCCUAACGUUGGACCAGCCUCAGAAAAGAGCUUUGUUUUUUAUUCUUUUUUGCUGUAAUCUGCUUGAUGGAGCCGCUACUGAUUUGGGGUUUUAUUUUUCUUUUAAGUUCUUUCUCUUUUACCCAUUCCCAGUUGAACAUCAGCCCCCCUAGAAGUGCAAAGGAGGGCUAAUUUAAUUUAAAAAAAAAUUGUAUCGAUAGACGUCCAAAACCCAACAAGAAAUUCUGAAAAUCUUGCUAAGUCAGUGAGAAAAUGCAGCUGAAGUGCUCAACCAAAGAGUUCAACAGGACUCCAGGAACUGCAGGGUUGGGGGAGAUGCUCUAAUACCUUAGAACAGAAGAGCCAGAAAUGUAUGGAAAAUGAUACAUUCUUGAAAUCAAUCGGUAAGCAAGUUUUUCCUCUUCUUUUAAUAGAACGGCAAACUCUCUGACCGCUGCCUGUCAAAAAACAAUAACCCAGUGACAGCCAUCAGCACCUACUCAUUGAAAAAUAUGCCCGUCUCUACUCUGUUCUAAUAAAAUGCGGAUUGCAUCAAAAAGGGAAUAUUCUUCAGGGUGUUGCUUACCCAGUGUUGUCUGUAUAUGACAUCAGUAUAUAUAUUUUUGAGAUACUACUAUCUCGUACUUCAAGGCAUACCUAUUUUCUCUAAUUGCCAGAGGCUAAGGGGAGGUGCACUAAAGAAUAAAGAAGGUUAUUGUGACAGAUGAAACAUAAUUCACAAUGAGUACUCUUUUCAUCCAGCCUUAAGUAGCAGAGGAUUACUCCGAGCUGAAUUUUAGGGGAGUAUGUAUGAUCUGAUUUAAUAAUAUGAGGACAGGCCACAAGCUGGAAGGCAAUAUAAACCAAUUAUGCUUUUGCUGAAUGUUUGGGGGGUUUUGUUGUUGUUUUUGGUGGUUUUUUUCCCUCUUCUUUUCUGGAAGGUGAAGAAAUGUUAACGUGAAGAGUGUCUGAAGAAACACGAGGAAAAGUAAGAAGUGCCGAGAAAUAAAAGUUGGGAUUUUCUGGAAUGGAUAUUGAUAAAUGAUUAUUCUAUAUUUCUGCUUCAUGACACUUAAAUGAAAUAAGACCAUGCAAUUUCUUCAGUAAACAUGCGCUGUGAAAACAUGAGUCUCCUGCCCUUGGAAGAAGAAAGUGGGAAGCAGCAAAAAGAGACUGUGUGUAGGCAGAGGAGAAGCAGACAAAAUGAGUCAGGCUGCCAGACUGCCAAGACCUUCUUGGAACAAAUGAUGAGGAAACCUGCACUAAGAACAGUAGAAGAAAGCUAUUAGAAGGUUAAAACACACCCAGAACCUAAGUAUUACGAAUUUAUGGCAAUUGGUGCAACUCUGAAGUGAGAAAGGUGCUGCUGACAGGCUAUUAUAGAGGGCAAACUGGGGCAGAAGACAAAGAAAGGUCUCUUGAAACAUGGUAUUAAAAAGGAGCAGGCACUGAAGUUGGUGUAGGUGCAGAUUUUAAAACAUCCAAAUUUACAGUGGGUUGCCAGUGGCCUAUGUUACCAUUUGGUGAUCUCCAACAAAGACCAAGAACAAAGACAAGAGGGUACAAAUACAACCAGUGCAAGCCAAACCCAGAAGAAAACGGGGGGUGGCCACCUCUCACAGAGGUGGAAUCAUAUUGACCAGCAUCCUGCCUCUUCAAGUAGAAGCACUUUGCACACUUACCUCUAUAUAUACAUAUAAGAUAAUAUAUACAUAAAAGAUUAAGGGUAUGUCUGUCAUUUAACUAGCUAUACAACCUGCUGAAACAAAGAUAUUCAAGCUGCAAAACCCAAGGAUGUAAGUCCAAAUUGUGGUUAUGGUCAGAAAGCAACCUAGUCCACAAAUUACUUCAUGAAAAAGAGCUGCUAAAACUGAACUAAGUUU
ensembl:lncRNA